GACGAACGCUGGCGGCGUGCCUAAUACAUGCAAGUCGAACGCAGUGGGGACGGGUGAGUAACACGUGGGUAACCUCCCAUCAGAGGGGAUAACACUUGGAAACAGGUGCUAAACCGAUACUGAUGGAUGGACCCGCGGUGCAUUAGCUAGUUGGUGAGGUAACGGCUCACCAAGGCCACGAUGCAUAGCCGACCGGAGAGGAUAGUCAGCCCCACUGGAACUGAAACGAGGCCCAGACUCCAACGGGAGGCGACGGUGGGGAAUCUUCGGCAAUGGACGAGGGUCUGACCGAACAACGCCGCGUGGGUGAAAAGGGUAUUCGGAUCGUAAACCUCUGUUGUUAGAAAAGCGGUAUCUAACCAGAAAGCCACGGCUAACUACGUGCCAGCAGCCGCGGUAAUAC
rnacentral:rRNA from 1 species